UUGUGACACAAGUGUCUCUGCAUCUGAUGCCCUCUCAUCCCGGGAUGCUGGCAAGCAAAGACAGAGCAGGAAUGAAAUUUAUCAGGCACGUGUUUAACUUCUCACUUCGACCCAAAUCAAAAUGGAAGCCUCCUUCGUUGCUUAUCAAAGCCCAUAAACCAACAAUAUUGAGGUGUUUGCUAGCAAGGACAAAGUUGGAAAACAGCUCAUGCCUCUUAUACUUU
rnacentral:lncRNA from 1 species